AUCCUGGCUCAGAUUGAACGCUGGCGGCAUGCUUUACACAUGCAAGUCGAACGGCGAGCGGGGGCUUCGGCCUGCCGGCGAGUGGCGAACGGGUGAGUAAUGCAGUCGGAACGUGCCCAUGUCGGUGGGGGAUAACGUAGCGAAAGCUACGCUAAUACCGCAUACGCCCUGAGGGGAAAGCGGGGAUUCUUCGGAACCUCGCGCGAUUGGAGCGGCCGAUGUCGGAUUAGCUAGUAGGUGAGGUAAAGGCUCACCUAGGCGACGAUCCGUAGCGGGUCUGAGAGGAUGAUCCGCCACACUGGGACUGAGACACGGCCCAGACUCCUACGGGAGGCAGCAGUGGGGAAUUUUGGACAAUGGGCGCAAGCCUGAUCCAGCCAUGCCGCGUGAGUGAAGAAGGCCUUCGGGUUGUAAAGCUCUUUCGGCCGGGAAGAAAUCGUGGUCUCUAACAUAGGCCAUGGAUGACGGUACCGGACUAAGAAGCACCGGCUAACUACGUGCCAGCAGCCGCG
rnacentral:rRNA from 1 species